GUCGAUCUUGAAUGCGACAUCCCAGGAUAUGUCGCCGACCCAUUCAUUUCUUUACGCAUGCGGAAGCGAAACAAAUCCCCUGACAACAUUUAACUUGGGAUAGAAAAGCAGGAAACAAAAUCACAACAUAACACUUUCGUAAAUCAACGAAAUUACAAACAGAGGUCUACGGCCAAAAGUCUACAAAAGACUGGCUCUUAAAAAGAGAUUAUCCUACGACCUACAAGACGUACACGAUCUCCAAUCCUUAUGACUUCACUUCUCCAACUCUUCAAGGCCAACCAAAGCUAUCUGGCCGCUCCGUCCAUCAGGGACC
rnacentral:lncRNA from 1 species